rnacentral:rRNA from 1 species
GGACUACUGGGGUAUCUAAUCCUGUUUGCUACCCACGCUUUCGUGUAUGAGUGUCAGUAUAGGACCAGGUCGCCGCCUUCGCCGCCGGUGUUCCUCCUGAUAUCUACGUAUUUCACCACUACACCAGGAAUUCCACGACCCUCUUCCUUACUCAAGUUAGGUAGUUUUGAAUGCACUUCCCGAGUUAAGCCCGGGGCUUUCACAUCCAACUUACCCAACCACCUGCACACGCUUUACGCCCAAUGAUUCCGAACAACGCUAGGACCCCCCGUCUUACCGCGGCUGCUGGCAC